rnacentral:lncRNA from 1 species
CUCCCUAGGACUGGGGACAUAUUCGAUCCAGGGAGUCAAGAGACUUACAGAGGGCUGCUUCUUUGUCACUUGUCUGCCAUGAUCAAACAGAAAUAGAAAAGGUAGUCACCAGGAAUGAAAUUUGUGUGGACAGCUGCCAUCUCUGCAGCCUAAUCCUAUGUUGGGUUGGGGACUUCUCACCAGAUGGCCCUUUAUCUUAUUUCAUCUGGACCCCAGGUCAAUCAUUAUUCUCCAGAAAAAUAAAUUUCCCUACCCUACCCUACCAUGAUUGUUUCAUUCAGAGAAGAUCCUUUGGCUUUGAUAAAGAGCCAUGGAUGGCAGAUCAUCCAUCUAUCCAUUUAUCCAUUCAUCCAUUCAAACAGUGACUGAUGGGCACCUACUCGCUGUUCUGUGCUGUUCAAUGUCUGAGACAUAUUCUGUGCAUUGAAGCUGCUUGUUGCAUUGUUUAUCUUCAUCUUCUUCCUAUUUUUCUUCUCUACGCUUUACUCUUCCUCCUCUUUCUCAGUUUAAGGUUUGUACUUGCUACGGUUUGAAUAUGUCCCCUUUAAAAUUCAGGAGUUGCCAAUAUGAUAGUAUUAGGAGGUGGGGCCUUUAAGAGAUGUUUAGGCCAUGAGGGCUCCUCCCUUGUGAGUGGGAUUGAGAUUCUUAUAAAAGAGGCUUCACACAGUGUUUGGCUCAUUUGCUCUUUUACCCCUGAGGGUAUAGUGUUCCUCCCUUUCAGAGGAUACACCAUCAAAGCACCAUCUCAGAAGCAGACACAGCCCUCGCCAGGCAACCAAAGCUGCUGGCGCCUUCAUCUUGGACUUCCCAGCCUCCAGAACUGGGAGAAAAUAAAUGCUUGUCUUCUAUAAAUUAUCCAGUCUGCAGUAUUUUGUUAGAGCAGCACAAACAGACUAAGACAGAAAUACUGUGAAGGUUGAUUUGGGUGUCAACUUGACUGGAUUAAAGGAACCCAAAUAGCUGGGAAGGCAUUAUUUAUUCUCAGUGCUUCAGUAGGCACUGAGCCCAUCCCCCUUCUGCUGAAAGGGAAACCCAACUCAUUUGGCAUUUAAUUAGAAUAAUUCGGCUGCCUUAAGUGUGUCUGUGAGAGUGCUCCUGGGGGAGAUUGGCAUGUAAGUAGGUGAACUAGAAUGGGGAAGAUCCACUCUCAAUGUAGCAGACACCAUCCAGUGGGCUGGGGGCCUGGAGGGAACGAAAAGGUGAAGUAAGGUCAAAUUCUCUUCCUCUCACUUCCAAAGCCAGGAGACCCUUCUUCUCCUGCCUUCAGACAUCAGAACUCCAGUUUCUCUGGCCUUUGGACUCACAUCAGCAGAUCCUGGGCCUUUGGCCUUGGACUGAGAAUUACACUGUCACCUUCCUUUGUUCUGAAACCUUGGGUUUGGGACUGAGCCAAGCUACUGAUUUUCCUGGUUCUCCAACUUGCAGUUGGUCUAUCUUGGGACUUCUCAGCCUCCAUAAUUAAAUGAGUCAAAUACGCUAAUAAAUCCUUCAUCUCUCUCUAUAUAUAUAUCUAAUAAAUCCUUCAUCUCUCUCUAUAUAUGUCUUACUGGUUCUAUUUCUCUGGGGAACCUUGACUAAAACAAUACUGUUGGCCAAUUAUUUGAUCAAAUCACUAUAAUUGGUUUGAAAAAAGAAAGGAGGCCUCAAAAUGAGUAACCCUAACUUCAACUGUUAACUUCAGUCUUUGCGGAACGAAGUGAUGUCUUACCUCCAUGAUCAAAACAAGGCAAGCGCUCGGCUAUUGUGGUUCUGAAGCAUUUUCAGAGAAAAGAUAGUGAACCAGCUGACACUAAUAAAGUUCCCCCAAAUUUGAUUAAACUUAAAUCUGCCCUUUUUGCCUGGGAAAACCCAUAAGCUUAUGUGAGUAAAUAAGCCUCUUAUUUAAAAACUAAACUUUGAAAUUUGGAAAGAAAAGCUGCAGAGUUGGUGCCCCAGUACACAAGGGCUGUUCCAACCUGGAGUGCUCAUUGGAAUUUCAAAGGGAAAUGAAAACAGGUGAGAAAUACUUGUAUUCAUAGGUUGUGGGAACCCAGGCAUGGGAUAAUGUAGAACCUAAUAGCUAAUACGCUUACUAGAUGACUGAUUGGCUUUAAUGUGAAAAAGUUUGAGGCACAGGACGCUUGGAGGGAAAAUCAUCGAUCUCACCAUCUAUGAUCCCGAAUCCAAGACGAAAACGAUUAUUUCCUUUCUCCUCUGCCCUUCCUCUAGCUGCUGGGAAAUGGCCACACAGAAGCUAGGAAAGGGGAGUAGGUGGUGCAGAGCAGCGGUUCUCAAACUUUACUGUUUUGCUGCACACUAGAAUCACCUGGGAGUUUUCAAGAAUCCUGAUGCCCCCUCCACGUUGAGAAGUGCAGUGAGAGCAACCCAUUAAAUCAGGAUCCAGGAGCCGGUGGGGGAGAACUCGCAAUUGGCAUUUUUUUGAAGGCCUCCAAGUGCCUCCCAUGCAGAGCAAGUUUGAGGCCAGAGGUAUAAGUGGUGCUUCCCAAUGAGGCAGGAUCUGAGACAAGACACAAGCUCCCAGCUGGUGUGGUCCCUGGCUGCACUUUAAGUAACAAGGUGUAGAGUUUCUAUCCCCGAUCCCACCCUCACAAUGAUGUCCUGGCAAAGUGAAAGAAGCUGAAAGAAAAGAGCUGAAAGAAUUGAGCCUGGGCAGAAAUGCAAGCAGGAUGUGGGCAAUGGGGCUAUCAAAUCAACACAGCCUGGAAAAAAGGGAUAAGAAAGCCUGCGUGUUCUCAGGAGGAUAGAGCUAUUUGUCAUUUGAAGCAAGACAUCCCACUGUCCCAUGAAAGCUUUUCUCCUCCCCUACCCCAAUAACAUGCACACAGGAAGAAUUCGUUUGUCCUAUGUCUCCAACCGGAGUGCCCAAAUUCCUCUGGCUCCCCGUAAUUACGAUGCUGGAUGAGAAAGAAUUGGACUUAGGCCAUCACCUAAGCAUUGGCAUAUGUUCAAAGUUCUCCCAUCUUGAAACCAGAAAGCAAGCCAACCCACCUCCGUGGACUUUUGCUUUCCUUCCAGCCCAAGCUCCCUUCUUUCUUGCCCACAGGCAGCUUUUAAAAGGACCUAUUACGGGCACCCACACUCUUAGUUUUCAUCCCACCAGUAUGUAAUAGGGACAUUUUGUUUAUCAUAGACUUCUUUACAUUAAUCUUGACUUUUAAAAAACAGUGCCUUAAAAUAUUAAUCUUGCUCCUUUUGCGGUUUAUAAGCAUGAUGAUUGGGUUUUCAUGUGUGAGAUGUGUCUCCCUCAAAUCUUUUUAUGAAGUAGAUGCAUUGUCUGUCUGACAUGAAAAAAGGAAAUAAUUAUUUAUCUUGAUUACUUCAUUUUUGGCACCCCCUCCCCUUUUAUUUAGCCCCAAGACUCUUGCCUCACCCUAGUCUUAACCAUUUCCAUCUGCUCCUCAACCCACUACAGUCUGUUCUGCUCUCAAUGCAAUAGAAACUAAUCUUGAAAGACUCAAUAAAAAUUCUUCUGUGUCAUUUGUUUUAAAGGACAACUUUUUAGUCCCUGUUUUCCAUGCCAUCCCUUUAAGCACUCAAACACAUCAAACUACAAGACAUACACAAAUACAAUGAUUAUGAAAAAUGUUACUAAUACCUAUGUCUAUUCCUAAAAUGUCAACAUCUUGUUUUCUUCCCCAUUUCUUAAUUUUUUAUACUACGCCUAUACUAUCUAAGAUUAUAGCAGUACUUAAUUAAAAAUCUCAAGUUUACAGUAUUCCAGACCAAAAAGAAAAGGAAUAUAAACUUAAGACAGCCAAGGUCGUAGGAUCUGGUUGAAGCAUUGAUUCUUGGUUAGGGCAGGAGGUCAGAUUAUUUCUCUGAAGACUAUCUAAAUCCAAACAAUGGACACCAGGCUGAAACUUUCUUCUUAAGUUAAUCUUGACUUUUCAUAUCAAUUAAAAAUAAAGUCUACAUUUUCCCCAUGGAUUUUAGUUUUUAGUAGCCUGGAAUUUCCCGAUCAAACAUUGAUGUCUGUCUUGGCUACCAUGACAUAACCCAUUGUCCUGUCAUUAUGAUAACUGGGUCUGGUCUAUUGAUGUUAUUUAAAAUGUAUGGCUGCCUCAGUAGUGCCUCAUCCUGAGUGAGACCAUCCAGAGGUUUCAUCUCUCAGGACAGGUAGAACCGGGGUAGUACAAUGCAUUCUCCUUUUUAAGAUAUUUGUUGACUUCAUCAUCUUGGAACACAGUUUUGAUCCUUUUUCUAGUUAUUGUGUGUGGCCACUGGUGCUUGGAAGACCCUCCUGUUCUUGAUAGAGUUUCUGUAUAUUUUCCCUGGGCAAUUUGGCUAACUGUUUCCUGUACUGCCUCUUCUCUAGUUAUGCAGCUUGACAUGAGUUUUAUGUCUAUAUUUUAAAAUCAAACAGAGUUAAUAGAAGAAAUAAAAAACUAAUUUAUAUUAACUUCCUCAUUAAAAUUAAUAAAA